rnacentral:rRNA from 1 species
UCGCCCUUAGAGUUUGAUCCUGGCUCAGGAUGAACGCUAGCGGCAGGCCUAAUACAUGCAAGUCGAACGGGACUAAGUAGCAAUACUUAGUUCAGUGGCGCACGGGUGCGUAACGCGUAUGCAACCUACCUUAAACUGGGGGAUAGCCUUCCGAAAGGGAGAUUAAUACCGCAUAAGAUCAUUUGAGGGCAUCUGAAGAUGAUUAAAGAUUUAUUGGUUUAAGAUGGGCAUGCGUGCCAUUAGCUAGUUGGUAGUGUAACGGACUACCAAGGCGACGAUGGCUAGGGGUUCUGAGAGGAUGAUCCCCCACACUGGUACUGAGAUACGGACCAGACUCCUACGGGAGGCAGCAGUAGGGAAUAUUGGGCAAUGGACGGAAGUCUGACCCAGCCAUGCCGCGUGCAGGAAGAAGGCCUUCUGGGUUGUAAACUGCUUUUAUAUAGGAAGAAAACACUCCUGCGGGAGAAACUGACGGUACUAUAUGAAUAAGCACCGGCUAACUCCGUGCCAGCAGCCGCGGUAAUACGGAGGGUGCAAGCGUUGUCCGGAUUUAUUGGGUUUAAAGGGUGCGUAGGCGGCCCUGUAAGUCAGUGGUGAAAGCCUCCAGCUCAACUGGAGAACUGCCAUUGAUACUGCAAGGCUUGAGUACAGACGAGGUUGGCGGAAUUGAUGGUGUAGCGGUGAAAUGCAUAGAUACCAUCAAGAACUCCGAUUGCGUAGGCAGCUAACUAGGCUGUAACUGACGCUGAGGCACGAAAGCGUGGGGAGCGAACAGGAUUAGAUACCCUGGUAGUCCACGC